AAAGCGCAGGCGGUUUCUUAAGUCUGAUGUGAAAGCCCCCGGCUCAACCGGGGAGGGUCAUUGGAAACUGGGAGACUUGAGUGCAGAAGAGGAGAGUGGAAUUCCAUGUGUAGCGGUGAAAUGCGUAGAUAUAUGGAGGAACACCAGUGGCGAAGGCGGCUCUCUGGUCUGUAACUGACGCUGAGGCUCGAAAGCGUGGGGAGCAAACAGGAUUAGAUACCCUGGUAGUCCACGCCGUAAACGAUGAGUGCUAAGUGUUGGAGGGUUUCCGCCCUUCAGUGCUGCAGCUAACGCAUUAAGCACUCCGCCUGGGGAGUACGACCGCAAGGUUGAAACUCAAAGGAAUUGACGGGGGCCCGCACAAGCGGUGGAGCAUGUGGUUUAAUUUGAAGCAACGCGAAGAACCUUACCAGGUCUUGACAUCCUUUGACCACUCUAGAGAUAGAGCUUCCCCUUCGGGGGCAAAGUGACAGGUGGUGCAUGGUUGUCGUCAGCUCGUGUCGUGAGAUGUUGGGUUAAGUCCCGCAACGAGCGCAACCCUUAUUGUUAGUUGCCAUCAUUUAGUUGGGCACUCUAGCAAGACUGCCGGUGACAAACCGGAGGAAGGUGGGGAUGACGUCAAAUCAUCAUGCCCCUUAUGACCUGGGCUACACACGUGCUACAAUGGGAAGUACAACGAGUCGCAAAGUCGCGAGGCUAAGCUAAUCUCUUAAAGCUUCUCUCAGUUCGGAUUGUAGGCUGCAACUCGCCUACAUGAAGCCGGAAUCGCUAGUAAUCGCGGAUCAGCACGCCGCGGUGAAUACGUUCCCGGGCCUUGUACACACCGCCCGUCACACCACGAGAGUUUGUAACACCCGAAGUCGGUGAGGUAACCUUUUGGAGCCAGCCGCCUAAGGUGGGAUAGAUGAUUGGGGUGAAGUCGUAACA
rnacentral:rRNA from 1 species